AACGAACGCUGGCGGCAUGCCUAACACAUGCAAGUCGAACGAGACCUUCGGGUCUAGUGGCGCACGUGUGCGUAACACGUGGGAAUCUGCCCUUUGCUUCGGAAUAACAGUUAGAAAUGACUGCUAAUACCGGAUGAUGUCGAAAGACCAAAGAUUUAUCGGCAAAGGAUGAGCCCGCGUAGGAUUAGGUAGUUGGUGGGGUAAAGGCCUACCAAGCCGACGAUCCUUAGCUGGUCUGAGAGGAUGAUCAGCCACACUGGGACUGAGACACGGCCCAGACUCCUACGGGAGGGAGCAGUGGGGAAUAUUGGACAAUGGGCGAAAGCCUGAUCAAGCAAUGCCGCGUGAGUGAUGAAGGCCUUAGGGUUGUAAAGCUCUUUUACCAGGGAUGAUAAUGACAGUACCUGGAGAAUAAGCUCCGGCUAACUCCGUG
rnacentral:rRNA from 1 species